UAUAUAUAAAGAGAACAAUUUUUAUGAAAAAUUGUUCUCAGUUGUAAAAAUAAUUAAUGGAUCCUAUGGACCCUGUACCAACGAUUAAGUUGGUAAGAACAGAUACUACACUUGAUCUUAGCCAAAAGGCCGAGAAAGGUA
rnacentral:snRNA from 1 species